rnacentral:tRNA from 1 species
GGUUGUGGCUCAGUGAUAGAGUGCUUGGCUCGUACAUGUGAGGCACUGGGUUCAAUCCCCAGCACCA